rnacentral:lncRNA from 1 species
UGCUUGCUAUCUAGUUGUCUCAAACACUCUUUUAUUUGAAGUAUUCAGGUAGUGCUGAGUGAAAGGUAUUUAUUUUUUCAUUUGCUUGCAGGUAAGACUGGAUUAUUGCAUGAUGCCUUGCAUUAGAAUUGGAGCUAUAAAGGAUGCUGCCGCCUGCGCGCUGAGCCCUGUGUGCUGAGAUGCCUGAGGAUACGAUGUGCCUGAUGUGCCAACCCUUCUGAGCUCCUCUUGCACGUCGCCUUCCCUCUGCUGUCCCCAGCCCCGGCAGGAGCCCAGGAAACUACUCGUGGUGUGAGCAUCAGCAAUGCCACGGCACCGUCUUCAGGCUCCGGGACCUGCUCUGCUGUCACCCAUCUCUUCAGAGUGUGUUUAAGGCACCCAAACUGCUGGUACCAAGGCGAGCACAGCUCUACCUCACCCGGAAUUUUACUCUCAGCCCCGUUAUUGGUGUUCCGACACGUGUUGGCUGGACAGUUGCUGUAGGACAGAUCAAGCAGUUCUUGUCUGAAAAUCUGGAGUCCAGUGUAACCAAGUGGAAAGUGAAGAUAUUUGCUGACGUAGAAAUAUUUUUAACAGGGAAAUGCAGCUGAAAAACUGAGAGCUUUUCAUGAGGUCUCAAAUGAAUGUAGCCCAGUCUUCUUCCAGAAAAAAAUGGUCAUCACCUGCAAAGCUUUCCCAGAGAGAUGAGAUGAGAAGGAAAUACUGUCUCUUCAAAGGGGAGCCUGAUCACCGUACAGUAUUGUGGGGCACCAUACAGCAGCAUCUGCAGCGUGCCUUUGGUCAGCGAUGGCAGACACUGCACCCAGCGGAGCAACUCCCUCCGACCUCCAAGAGCUGCUGAUCAUCAGGUCCUGCUCGUGUGAGAGGUCCCAGUGGCCAAAGGGAGCACGGGAAAGCCUAAAGAAAAAGCCCAUAAUAUCCAAACUUGUGGACUUUUGAUGGUGGAAUUGUAAAAGCAACAAGCAGUGCUGGCAGCAAGAUGGAAGAAACGUUUCAAGCUGCUUUCGUUAGUUUAUAGCAGGGAUCCGAUCGGCAGUGUCCAAAUGCCAGCCAGCAGAGCAGAGUCAGAGCACUUUCAGCAAUUUCAUUAUAAACCCUGCUACUGAGAAAUUUAUAAGACUGCUAUAAAACUUCACUCAAGGCUGAUCAGUGCCAGAGAACAUUCCUUUUCCACUAAAAAAUAACAUGAGGCUGCUGUUUAUAAAUGAUAGGGUUGCAAAAGUGGAGAGAGAGAGAGGCAGAUUUUCAAAGGCAUAAAUUGGGGUUGGAUACCCAUUCUCUGUUUCUUGGAAUAUCAGUCAAUAAAUUCAAAACAAAAGAGAUGAGGCA